rnacentral:tRNA from 2 species
GGAAAGAUGGCCCAAUGGUAAGGCAGCACAUUGCUAAUGUGUCGUACAGAAAUGUAUUGGGGGUUCGAGCCCCUCUCUUUCCG